rnacentral:rRNA from 1 species
UACAGAGGGGGCAAGCGUUGUUCGGAAUUAUUGGGCGUAAAGAGCUCGUAGGCGGUCUGUCGCGUCUGCUGUGAAGACUCGGGGCUUAACCCCGGGCCUGCAGUGGGUACGGGCAGACUAGAGUGCGGUAGGGGUGACUGGAAUUCCUGGUGUAGCGGUGGAAUGCGCAGAUAUCAGGAGGAACACCGAUGGCGAAGGCAGGUCACUGGGCCGCAACUGACGCUGAGGAGCGAAAGCAUGGGGAGCGAACAGG